UACGAAGGGUGCAAACGUUGCUCGGAAUUAUUGGGCGUAAAGCGCACGUAGGUGGCUUUUCAAGUCGGAUGUGAAAUCCCUCGGCUUAACCAAGGAAGUGCAUCCGAAACUGGAAGGCUUGAGUACUUAAGAGGAUCGCGGAAUUCCCGGUGUAGAGGUGAAAUUCGUAGAUAUCGGGAGGAACACCAGUGGCGAAGGCGGCUAUCUGGACCGUAACUGACGCUGAGGCGCGAAAGCGUGGGGAGCAAACAGG
rnacentral:rRNA from 1 species